CGGGGUGUAGCUCAGCCUGGUAGAGCACUGCCUUCGGGAGGCAGGGGCCGCAAGUUCAAUUCUUGUCACCCCGACCA
rnacentral:tRNA from 1 species